ensembl:snoRNA
GCAUGAAUGAUGACUUAACAUUCUUUUGUCGGAUACCCCUUCACUCUUCAAUGAGUGAUAUCCUCUUUCUGACAUGC